AUUCGCAAUCUUUUUCGUUCUUUGUUUUUUUUAGAAUAGAUUAUUCCACCUUUCAAUAAACUUCAACUCAUUUCUUACUCUCUUAAUCAAUCUCUUAUGAUCUUAUUCUUUUACUCUUUUGUUUACCCAUUACAGAUAAUGUUACCACAUAAUUUAUCUGAAGGUAGAACAACUGGUCCUUAAUAUUGUAUCUUCGAUGUAUCUCCAAUAUUUUAUUCUAGAUACUUCUAUUUCAGCUUUCUUAUUCAUUCCAUCUUCCUACUUCCCCCUCAUCUCUCUCUUUCUCUCUAACCUUGCUUUUUCAUCUCUCUUCUCAUUUCUUCAUUCCUAAUUUAUUACUAUUCAUUUGCAAUUUUCUUCAUAAUCGCGUAGGCACUUUGCGCUAUUUUUCUUUUACAGGAUCCGACUAAGCGACAGGAUCACCAUCUUCAAGCGAUUGAUACUCCAUGGCAGCUCCCGCCACCUGGUCCAGGUUCAUCCUCUCUCAUGUCCUGCGCGUUAGAGGGGGUUUUCACAUCUCGAUACCCCCGCGGCAGCAGCGAGAAAGCCGCCGGCGCGACCGGCGCGCGUUAUUGAUUUGACAGGAAUGACGGGAGGCGGAAUGGCGCAGGAAUCGAUAAGAGAAGGUGGUGGUCCAAGCUGCUGGUGAUGGGCUGCGCGGGGGUGCGCAAGAAAGAGAGGCUGCUUGUACAACGAGGGUGCUAGAGCGAGCGAGCGAGCGAGCGGCGAACUGUGUAGGGUUGGUAGCGAGCAGGUAGAGGGAGUGAUGAGGAGAAGAACGAGGGCUGGCGGGAGCGGUAGCGAGGAGGAGGAUCAGAAGAGAGAGGGAGCGGAGAAUAUUUUCAUACUCCAGACUCCCGGCGUAGGUAGAAGAUGGCAGCCGAGGCGUGAUUCGGUCCGGGCAGUUUCCUCUUUUCUGGCCGCGCGCGCGCGAGAGUAGUAGGGCCGCAAUCCGCUCCGGGUUUGAGAAGAAGUCGGAAAGUAGUGUGCUCUCCCUUCGUGGUCGAUCUCAGCUCCUCGUUGUCGGUCGACGGUGCACGAAAACUCCAAAAAAAGCCGCCGAGAGAUGAUUUAAAGAGAGAUAGAGAACAAGCAGAAAGAGAGAGAGAGAGAGAGAGAGAGAGAGAAAGAGAGAGAGAGAGGGAGGGAGAAAGAGAAAGAGAGAGAAAGAGAGAGACUGAUUGACUGACUGAUACUAAAGGAAAGAUAAAAAAGAGGAAAAGAUAGAACGAGAAGGAAGAGAAAGAUCCGCUCCAUUUCGCUCAUCUGCAUUUCGUUCGCGCGACGUAUCCAAUUCGCUGUUUUUCUGUCGUUUUUUUUCGUCGCUGCACAUACAGCUACCCGCUACGAGCGCGCUAUUCGUAUAUCUCAAAGAUUGGUAUACGUUCGAUAGCGUAUUAUCGAAGAGAAUCAACUCGUGAUCCGCUCCGAUCCGCUCCGCUACGCUCCGUUCCGCUCGACUCCGCGUGCCGCGUCUAAUGAUCAAGGAGGUGGUAGACAUCAGUGAUUAUGCGCGUAGUAAUGAAUAAUCUUGUAAAGCCCGUCGGAAUCACAGUAGCCGCCAUCGUCGCAGUGUUUCAUGAGCGUCAUGUAAUAUGGAAUUAAACAAUGUUGUUAAGACGUAAACAUGUUCUGGCUACACUGUGGACUCUUUGUUCUCGUGAUUGCCGUACGUGGAUUUAUUAGCAGCUUAGCCGAUACCACAUCCAAGCGAGAUUGGUAGCUGAGCGUAUUGAUGGCUGGAGCUUAAUCGGACCGAGUGUAAUCGAUUCAAUAUUUUAGAGGGUACAGAGGGAUGGUAAUCUAUCAAAAGAAAUUCAAAUCCAACCGGUCCGAAUUCUUUAUCAAGCUAUUCUGUCUACAGGAAAGCGUUUAUUUCGAUCAAUUUCGAAUAAGAUAGUGACCUAAGUUUCGCGAAUAAUUUAAUGUAAAAUAACUCGAAAUUUUUUAUCAGACUAAGUGGACGCUAAGGUCCUCUACACGAAUGGCUGCGUGAAUGAAUGGGUGUAAAGCGCUGAUCGUUACGGAGGUAUUGCACCUGCUUGCGCACCUUGCUUGCCACCCUGUCCGCUUAAUAAUCCUAAGGAGCGUCAAAGACCCAUAAUGUCGGGUUUGCGGGUCAGGAGAUCUCAGAAUUUAAGGAUUCCAGGAAAUCUAGGAUUCAAAUAACUUAAUCUAAUUUCUGGAAAUUAGAUAAACUUAGAGUAAAGGAAAUCCGGAAUUUACCAACCUCAGGAUUCAAGGAGUCGAGGAAUUUAUAAUUUAUCUUAAAAAUAAAAAUAUCUAACGGUAAAAGGGAAUUGAAGAUUUAGGAUCUAAGAAAUUUAAUACUCGAUAAAAUUGAAAUGUAUAAUUUAUUAUA